rnacentral:rRNA from 1 species
GCUUAAGGCCAUACCAGCCUGGGUACGCCUGAUCUCGUCUGAUCUCGGAAGCAAAGCAGGGUCGGGCCUGUUUAGUGCUUGGAUGGGAGACUGCCUGGGAAUACCAGGUGCUGUAAGCA